UAGGGAAUCUUCGGCAAUGGACGAAAGUCUGACCGAGCAACGCCGCGUGAGUGAAGAAGGUUUUCGGAUCGUAAAACUCUGUUGGUAGAGGAGAACGUUGGUGAGAGUGGAAAGCUCAUCAAGUGACGGUAACUACCCAGAAAGGGACGGCUAACUACGUGCCAG
rnacentral:rRNA from 1 species